UGACGAGUGGCGGACGGGUGAGUAAUGUCUGGGAAACUGCCUGAUGGAGGGGGAUAACUACUGGAAACGGUGGCUAAUACCGCAUAACGUCGCAAGACCAAAGAGGGGGACCUUCGGGCCUCUUGCCAUCAGAUGUGCCCAGAUGGGAUUAGCUWGUUGGUGAGGUAACGGCUCACCAAGGCGACGAUCCCUAGCUGGUCUGAGAGGAUGACCAGCCACACUGGAACUGAGACACGGUCCAGACUCCUACGGGAGGCAGCAGUGGGGAAUAUUGCACAAUGGGCGCAAGCCUGAUGCAGCCAUGCCGCGUGUAUGAAGAAGGCCUUCGGGUUGUAAAGUACUUUCAGCGGGGAGGAAGGUGUUGUGGUUAAUAACCGCAGCAAUUGACGUUACCCGCAGAAGAAGCACCGGCUAACUCCGUGCCAGCAGCCGCGGUAAUACGGAGGGUGCAAGCGUUAAUCGGAAUUACUGGGCGUAAAGCGCACGCAGGCGGUCUGUCAAGUCGGAUGUGAAAUCCCCGGGCUCAACCUGGGAACUGCAUUCGAAACUGGCAGGCUUGAGUCUUGUAGAGGGGGGUAGAAUUCCAGGUGUAGCGGUGAAAUGCGUAGAGAUCUGGAGGAAUACCGGUGGCGAAGGCGGCCCCCUGGACAAAGACUGACGCUCAGGUGCGAAAGCGUGGGGAGCAAACAGGAUUAGAUACCCUGGUAGUCCACGCCGUAAACGAUGUCUACUUGGAGGUUGUGCCCUUGAGGCGUGGCUUCCGGAGCUAACGCGUUAAGUAGACCGCCUGGGGAGUACGGCCGCAAGGUUAAAACUCAAAUGAAUUGACGGGGGCCCGCACAAGCGGUGGAGCAUGUGGUUUAAUUCGAUGCAACGCGAAGAACCUUACCUGGUCUUGACAUCCACAGAAGAAUCCAGAGAUGGAUUUGUGCCUUCGGGAACUGUGAGACAGGUGCUGCAUGGCUGUCGUCAGCUCGUGUUGUGAAAUGUUGGGUUAAGUCCCGCAACGAGCGCAACCCUUAUCCUUUGUUGCCAGCGGUCCGGCCGGGAACUCAAAGGAGACUGCCAGUGAUAAACUGGAGGAAGGUGGGGAUGACGUCAAGUCAUCAUGGCCCUUACGACCAGGGCUACACACGUGCUACAAUGGCGCAUACAAAGAGAAGCGACCUCGCGAGAGCAAGCGGACCUCAUAAAGUGCGUCGUAGUCCGGAUUGGAGUCUGCAACUCGACUCCAUGAAGUCGGAAUCGCUAGUAAUCGUGGAUCAGAAUGCCACGGUGAAUACGUUCCCGGGCCUUGUACACACCGCCCGUCACACCAUGGGAGUGGGUUGCAAAAGAAGUAGGUAGCUUAACCUUCGGGAGGGCGCUUACCACUUUGUGAUUCAUGACUGGGGUGAAGUCGUAACAAGGUAACCGUAGGGGAACCUGCGGUUGGAUCACCUCCUUACCUGAAAGAAGC
rnacentral:rRNA from 1 species